AGUGAACGCUGGCGGCGUGCCUAAUACAUGCAAGUCGAACGGAGAUUAAGUAGCUUGCUAUUUAAUCUUAGUGGCGCACGGGUGAGUAAUAUAUAGCUAAUCUGCCCUACACUAGAGGACAACAGUUGGAAACGACUGCUAAUACUCUAUACUCCUUCUAAGCAUAAGCUUAGUCGGGAAAGUUUUUCGGUGUAGGAUGAGGCUAUAUCGUAUCAGCUAGUUGGUAAGGUAACGGCCUACCAAGGCUAUGACGCGUAACUGGUCUGAGAGGAUGAUCAGUCACACUGGAACUGAGACACGGUCCAGACUCCUACGGGAGGCAGCAGUAGGGAAUAUUGCUCAAUGGGGGAAACCCUGAAGCAGCAACGCCGCGUGGAGGAUGACACUUUUCGGAGCGUAAACUCCUUUUCUUGGGAAAGAAUUAUGACGGUACCCAAGGAAUAAGCACCGGCUAACUCCGUGCCAGCAGCCGCGGUAAUACGGAGGGUGCAAGCGUUACUCGGAAUCACUGGGCGUAAAGGACGCGUAGGCGGAUUAUCAAGUCUCUUGUGAAAUCUAACGGCUUAACCGUUAAACUGCUUGGGAAACUGAUAAUCUAGAGUAAGGGAGAGGCAGAUGGAAUUCUUGGUGUAGGGGUAAAAUCCGUAGAGAUCAAGAAGAAUACCCAUUGCGAAAGCGAUCUGCUGGAACUUAACUGACGCUAAUGCGUGAAAGCGUGGGGAGCAAACAGGAUUAGAUACCCUGGUAGUCCACGCCCUAAACGAUGUAUACUAGUUGUUGCUUCGCUAGUCGAGGCAGUAAUGCACCUAACGGAUUAAGUAUACCGCCUGGGGAGUACGGUCGCAAGAUUAAAACUCAAAGGAAUAGACGGGGACCCGCACAAGCGGUGGAGCAUGUGGUUUAAUUCGAAGAUACGCGAAGAACCUUACCCGGACUUGAUAUCUAACAAAUCAUCCAGAGAUGGAAGAGUGUCUGCUUGCGGAAAUGUUAAGACAGGUGCUGCACGGCUGUCGUCAGCUCGUGUCGUGAGAUGUUGGGUUAAGUCCCGCAACGAGCGCAACCCACGUAUUUAGUUGCUAACGGUUAGGCCGAGCACUCUAAAUAGACUGCCUUCGUAAGGAGGAGGAAGGUGUGGACGACGUCAAGUCAUCAUGGCCCUUAUGUCCGGGGCGACACACGUGCUACAAUGGCGUAUACAAUGAGACGCAAUAUCGCGAGAUGGAGCAAAUCUAUAAAAUACGUCCCAGUUCGGAUUGGAGUCUGCAACUCGACUCCAUGAAGCCGGAAUCGCUAGUAAUCGUAGAUCAGCCAUGCUACGGUGAAUACGUUCCCGGGUCUUGUACUCACCGCCCGUCACACCAUGGGAGUUGAUUUCACUCGAAGCCCAAAUACCAAAUCGGUUAUGGUCCACAGUGGAAUCAGCGACUGGGGUG
rnacentral:rRNA from 1 species